rnacentral:rRNA from 1 species
GUAGGGAAUCUUCCACAAUGGACGAAAGUCUGAUGGAGCAACGCCGCGUGAGUGAAGAAGGGUUUCGGCUCGUAAAACUCUGUUGUUAAAGAAGAACAUAUCUGAGAGUAACUGUUCAGGUAUUGACGGUAUUUAACCAGAAAGCCACGGCUAACUACGUGCAAG